rnacentral:rRNA from 1 species
CCUACGGGUGGCAGCAGUGAGGAAUAUUGGUCAAUGGACGCAAGUCUGAACCAGCCAUGCCGCGUGCAGGAAGACGGCUCUAUGAGUUGUAAACUGCUUUUGUACGAGGGUAAACGCAGAUAAGCGGAUCAGUCUGAAAGUAACGUACGAAUAAGGAACGGCUAACUCCGUGCCAGCAGCCGCGGUAAUACGGAGGAUUCAAGCGUUAUCCGGAUUUAUUGGGGUUAAAGGGUGCGUAGGCGGUCGGAUAAGUUAGAGGUGAAAUCCCGAGGCUCAACUUCGGAAUUGCCUCUGAUACUGUUCGUCUAGUGUGUAGUUGCGGUAGGCGGCAUGUUUUGUGUAGCGGU